rnacentral:rRNA from 1 species
CCGCGGUAAUACGUAGGGGGCGAGCGUUGUCCGGAAUCACUGGGCGUAAAGGGCGCGUAGGCGGCUUGAGAAGUCGCAGGUGAAAUCCCGCGGCUCAACCGUGGAACUGCCUGCGAAACCAUUGGGCUUGAGGACAGGAGAGGGAAGCGGAAUUCCNNGUGUAGCGGUGAAAUGCGUAGAUAUCAGGAGGAACNCCAGUGGCGAAGGCGGCUUUNUGGCCUGGUCCUGACGCUGAGGCGCGAAAGCUAGGGGAGCAAACAGGAUUAGAUACCCUGGUAGUCCUAGCUGUAAACGAUGGGCACUAGGUGUUGGGGGGUUCAUACCNUUCAGUGCCGUAGGUAACCCAAUAAGUNCCCCGCCUGGGGAGUACGGUCGCAAGACUGAAACUCAAAGGAAUUGACGGGGGCCCNCACAAGCGGUGGAGGGAANGGUUUAAUUCGAUGCAACGCGAAUUUCCUUACCAGGGUUAACAUGUCGGUGGUACGGAGU